CUUCACGAGAUGUACGCCGUUUUUGGGCUCCGACCUGGCGCACGCACCAACCCCAUGCUUCACGGGUGGUUCGGAUGACGAAGCGGUCCUUGUCAGCAGCCGCUGUCUGGAGGACAAGAGCAAACG
rnacentral:ncRNA from 2 species